rnacentral:rRNA from 1 species
ACGCGAAGAAACCUUAACCAAGGGCUUGACAUACUACGAGAACGGGGCCAGAAAUGGUCAACUCUUUGGACACUCGUUGAACAGGUGGUGCAUGGUUGUCGUCAGCCCGCGUCGUGAGAUGUUGGGUUAAGUCCCGCAACGAGCGCAACCCUCGUUCUAUGUUGCCAGCGCGUUAUGGCGGGGACUCAUAGGAGACUGCCGGGGUCAACUCGGAGGAAGGUGGGGAUGACGUCAAAUCAUCAUGCCCCUUAUGUCUUGGGCUUCACGCAUGCUACAAUGGCCGGUACAAAGGGCUGCGAUACCGUAAGGUGGAGCGAAUCCCAAAAAGCCGGUCUCAGUUCGGAUUGAGGUCUGCAACUCGACCUCAUGAAGUCGGAGUCGCUAGUAAUCGCAGAUCAGCA